rnacentral:rRNA from 1 species
GAUGAACGCUGGCGGCGUGCCUAAUACAUGCAAGUCGAGCGAAUGGAUUAAGAGCUUGCUCUUAUGAAGUUAGCGGCGGACGGGUGAGUAACACGUGGGUAACCUGCCCAUAAGACUGGGAUAACUCCGGGAAACCGGGGCUAAUACCGGAUAACAUUUUGAACCGCAUGGUUCGAAAUUGAAAGGCGGCUUCGGCUGUCACUUAUGGAUGGACCCGCGUCGCAUUAGCUAGUUGGUGAGGUAACGGCUCACCAAGGCAACGAUGCGUAGCCGCCAUGGGAGGGUGAUCGGCCACGCUGGGAAUGGAACACGGCCCAGACUCCUACGGGAGGCAACAGUAGGGAAUCGUCCGCAAUGGACGAAAGUCUGACGGAGCAACGCCGCGUGAGUGAUGAAGGCUUUCGGGUCGUAAAACUCUGUUGUUAGGGAAGAACAAGUGCUAGUUGAAUAAGCUGGCACCUUGACGGUACCUAACCAGAAAGUCACGGCUAACUACGUGCCAGCCGCCGCCGUAA